AUGUAGCAUUUGCAGCUAAAAUCAAUGGAGGCUUUCAAAUGGAAAAGAACAGAAAGAAAGAACAGGGAAAGAACAGGGUCCUACACUGGCUGCACUUAUUUACAGCAAAGAAUUCUUUGCAGCUCUUCCUGUGGACAGAGAGCAUGAGCAGAUGGUGUCCACUCAGCCUUGCUCUUUGUAACAUGAUGGAACCAAAGAAAUCUCUCUUCUACCAGACAGUAAGAACCUAGGUUGCUGGCACAACAUGUCAACUGCAUAAAACCCCUUAAAAUAAAGGUGGCUCAUUUCCAAGUAAA